UGCAGCUACAAGGUCAAUCCUCCUCCUUCUCCCCACUAGCCAGCGUACGCAUUCCUCUAGAAGUGCAGAGAGAUUUGGUUAAGAAACGCUUGCAUUUCAUGAACAAGAGCUACUCAGAUGGGUGGACUGAGCUUUCUAGCCAUAUGACCACGGAUGGCUUAAGCCGAAGGAUUUUUGUUAACAGUCUAUCACAGACAUAAUCCACAAGACUUUCGCCUUCGAGCAUCACAGCAGGCGUCACCCUUUCUGAACUACAAUAUCAGCCCCAACCGGGUGUAAUCGUUUAAGAAGCAAUAGUUCUCUCACACGCACAAUUCACCGGUUGGAUAGGGACCUCAUUGCAAGUGGAAGAGGAGCAUGCCAGCUAUGAACCGAUAUAUUCACUAUUUCGCGAUCUCCAAUUGAAGCAGUUGCUGCAAUUUACAACGCAAGAUCGGUCUUGAAAACCAUGAGGGUGGAGUGGAAGUUUCUGAAAGCCUUCUUGUGACUCGGAACACACAUACCUAGCCCUGUUCGGAGCCGCGAAAAUAAGGCGAGUGCUCGUAGUCUAUGGUGCUGUUCCUGAUUAUAUCUCCAUCAAAGGCUUCACUUGAUCUGACCACCCCUUCACAUGGACGCUCUGCUGUGACAGUUUCCAAGCAUCCAUUUCAGGAUCUACUAUGAGAAAAUAUUACUAGAGGGGUUGAGAAACAGCGUCUAGAAGGCGGUGCGGCCGAUAUUGAUCAACUAGUUUAUUCCACAGCUGGGAUAAAUGCACAGAAUUUGCCAUUUUCUCUUGCCAGGCUUAUUGACCAGGAGACCAGCUGCACACAAGACAGACACAAUGAAUCUCCAGGUGCUUUCUACACAACCAACUCAGUGGGCACCUGAUUGGUGUAGUAUUACUCUAUUUGCCUCUUGACAAUGAAACCUCACCACCUCAACGCAAUGAUUUCCCUGCCCCCAAUUGAGUGCCAGCUAUUUCUCCCGGGAUUCGGAGCUCUGCUUGUGAUGAAGCUGGAUAUGCUAUAUUGAAUGAUCUGAGCGGAAGUGCCAUUUUCGGAAUUAGGUCUCUGAAAAAAUAAAUACAUUUUUUCAAGAAAAGCUACGCAACAACGGAACCUUGCGCCUUCCUCCGAAGGAAAUUUUGACAAGCUGGAAUUAUUAGCAAAGGGUUCCACAAACUUUCCCAUCACAAAAAAAGGUCAACGAAUAAUAUCUUGAGGAGGUUAUGACAGACAUGAAUUAAGUCUCAUUUUGUAUGCUGUGAUUAUCUAUUGUUGUUAUUUACUUCUUUUUGUACAGUACAAUCACUACAAUGACAACCAAGGGU
rnacentral:sRNA from 1 species